AAGAAAACCAGUCGCCGAGUUCGGGCUCGUACGGAAUCGGUGGAUCCUCCUGUACCCGCAUCGGCAGAAGUCUUGACUGCACCGCCCCCGGCCACACAAAGUGCUGAUACUCAAGCCAUUACACAAGUCGGAGCGGCUGCCGCCUCACUAUUGCUGGAAGCUUUACAAGUGAGUUCAAACUUCAUCACUUCCGAUUUGUCAACUCGGUAUUAAUUCUUGUUCACUUUGUGCUUCUUAGGAUUCUUCUAUGGAAAUAUCACAGUCAGUGACAACUCGACCGGAUGCCAACACACCCCU
rnacentral:lncRNA from 1 species